CGGCAGGGAGAAGCGCGGCCCGCUUCAUCUGUGGGUGAUGGGGGCCGUAUGUCCCAUUUGCGUGCUCUGCGCAUGAGGAAGAGGCCUCAAGCAUGUGAAAGGCAACUCAAGACUCUUCAUGUCACUAAAAAGUGUGCUUCUGCUUGUGUGACCUCUGCAUCUAACUGGAGGAUAAAUCCCUGCAUCUGCUGGGUUCUCACAUAAUCCUGAUCCUUGACACUGGGCUGCAAAGGAGUGGUCCCUUCCUGCCACCCUCCUUCAGGCAGCUUGCCCUGUGCAAGAGCUUCCACCCAUGAUGCUGCCUUGCAGAGAAGAACCAGGGAAACAUGUUUCAUUCUGAGAUAUUCCCAGAUCUCUGGCUACACAGCCCUGCUCAACAGCAGGAGAAAACAAUGGUGAAGAAAGUAAAGCCCAAGGAAUAAGACUGUGACAUUGAUGACUAGGGUAUUAUGAACAGCUCAGCAAGAAAUACUGUUCUACCUAACCUGCCAGAGAGCUCAGAAGUGAGGCAAGUCAUGGAAGUGCUGGAUUGUGGUUCUAGCUUGAAUUUUACCCAUGUAAGUAUACAAAAGUUGAGUAGAAUCUCAUUUAGGGUGCAAGAUGCACUCUAGUUCAAAGGCUGAACUGGGCAGGAGUGAGAGAAAUGGAGAAAGCAGUAGAAUGCAGAUACAAUUCAAGUACAAGUAUAAUGAAUAUUAUAUAAGCCAUGUUUGAAAGUGGGAACAUUUGGAAUAGAAAGUAUCUUGAAGCAUUUAUGACCAUUAUCAGGCAUUCAAGAUUUUGUGCUUCUGUGUGUCACCUUAGUUCCAACAGAGUCCCAGAUUCCAAUUUCUACUAUUUAUUCUCUGCCUUUCUUGACCAUGUAUGCAAAAUACUUUACAAACCUAGCAGACGGGUGCUU